rnacentral:rRNA from 1 species
UACGGAGGGUGCAAGCGUUGUUCGGAAUUAUUGGGCGUAAAGGGCGCGUAGGCGGUGGCGCAAGUCAGAUGUGAAAUCCUUCGGCUUAACUGAAGAACUGCAUUUGAUACUGCGCUACUCGAGUACAGGAGAGGGAAAUGGAAUUCCCGGUGUAGAGGUGAAAUUCGUAGAUAUCGGGAGGAACACCAGUGGCGAAGGCGAUUUCCUGGCCUGAUACUGACGCUGAGGCGCGAAAGCGUGGGGAGCAAACAGGAUUAGAUACCCUGGUAGUCCACGCAGUAAACGGUGAACACUAGGUGUGGGAGGUGUAAUACCUUCUGUGCCGAAGCUAACGCGUUAAGUGUUCCGCCUGGGAAGUACGGCCGCAAGGUUGAA